GAUGAACGCUGGCGGCGUGCCUAAUACAUGCAAGUCGAGCGAAUGGAUUAAGAGCUUGCUCUUAUGAAGUUAGCGGCGGACGGGUGAGUAACACGUGGUAACCUGCCCAUAAGACUGGGAUAACUCCGGGAAACCGGGGCUAAUACCGGAUAACAUUUUGAACCGCAUGGUUCGAAAUUGAAAGGCGGCUUCGGCUGUCACUUAUGGAUGGACCCGCGUCGCAUUAGCUAGUUGGUGAGGUAACGGCUCACCAAGGCAACGAUGCGUAGCCGACCUGAGAGGGUGAUAGGCCACACUGGGACUGAGACACGGCCCAGACUCCUACGGGAGGCAGCAGUAGGGAAGCUUCCGAAAUGGACGAAAGUCUGACGGAGCAACGCCGCGUGAGUGAUGAAGGCUUUCGGGUCGUAAAACUCUGUUGUUAGGGAAGAACAAGUGCUAGUUGAAUAAGCUGGCACCUUGACGGUACCUAACCAGAAAGCCACGGCUAACUACGUGCCAGCCGCCGCAGUAA
rnacentral:rRNA from 1 species